GAACGCACCUUGCGCCCUUUGGCUAUUCUGAAGGGCAUGCCUGUUUGAGUAUCAUGAACACCUCAACUCCUCAUGGUUUGCCAUGAUGAGCUUGGACUUUGGGGGUCUUGCUGGCCUAUGGUUGGCUCCUCUCAAAUGGAUCAGCUUGCCAGUGUUUGGUGGCAUCACAGGUGUGAUAAUUAUCUACGCUUGUGGUUUUCCACCAUAUAACCUUCAGCAAUGAAGGUUUGCUGGAGCUCACAAAUGUCCCUCCUCAGUGAGGACGGCUUUUUGAACGUUUGAUCUCAAAUCAGGUAGGAUUACCCGCUGAACUUA
rnacentral:misc_RNA from 1 species